ACACUGACGUCGCGACGCAUAUCAAUAAGCGGAGGAAAAGAAACUAACAAGGAUUCCCCUAGUAACGGCGAGUGAAGCGGGAAGAGCCUCAAAUUUGAAAUCUUAAAGGGUUUACCUUUACGAAUUGUAGUUUAAAGAAGUGUUUUCUGCUGAGGUUUUGGUAAAAGUUCUUUGGAAUAGGACAUCAUAGAGGGUGAGAAUCCCGUAUUUGACCAUUAUUUUCAGCUUUGUGAUACACUUUCAAAGAGUCGGAUUGUUUGGGAAUGCAGUCCAAAAUGGGCGGUAAAUUUCAUCUAAAGCUAAAUAUUGGCGAGAGACCGAUAGCGAACAAGUACCGUGAGGGAAAGAUGAAAAGAACUUUGAAAAGAGAGUUAAACAGUACGUGAAAUUGUCAAAAGGGAAGCGUUUGACACCAGUGUUGUUUUUCUGAAAAUCAAUUAAAGAACUGUUUAUGCUAAGUUGUUUAGACUUUAUCAGCUAACUGUUUAGUUUUGAGCUUUUCUUUAAUGCACUUUUCAGUUAACAAGUCAACAUCAAUUUCUUUUGCUGUAAAAAAGCUUGAGGAAGGUGGCUUGAGAUUCGUCUUAAGUGUUUAUAGCCUCUUGCCUAUGCAGUCGGAGAGAUUGGGGUCUGCAGCGUAGAUCCUUCGGGGCUAAAUGCAUUUGUGCUAAGUUAUAGCAUUUUAUAGACAACUUGUUGACUAUGAUUUGUCUUGUAGCUUACUCGCUUAUGUUAUUUUACCUACGCUUAGGAUGUUGAACUCUAUCACACACAG
rnacentral:rRNA from 1 species